rnacentral:SRP_RNA from 1 species
GCUGGGCGUGGUGGUGCAUGCCUGUAAUCCCAGCUACCUGGGAGGCUGAGGCAGGAGAAUUGCUUGAACCCAGGAGGCAGAGGUUGCAGUGAGCCGGAAUCGUGCCACUGCACUCCAGCCUGGGUGACAGAGUAAGACUCUGUCUCCA